UACGUAGGGUGCGAGCGUUGUCCGGAAUUAUUGGGCGUAAAGAGCUCGUAGGCGGUCUGUCGCGUCUGCUGUGAAAAACCCGAGGCUCAACCUCGGGCCUGCAGUGGGUACGGGCAGACUAGAGUGCGGUAGGGGAGACUGGAAUUCCUGGUGUAGCGGUGAAAUGCGCAGAUAUCAGGAGGAACACCGGUGGCGAAGGCGGGUCUCUGGGCCGUAACUGACGCUGGAGGAGCGAAAAGCGUGGGGAGCGAACAGG
rnacentral:rRNA from 1 species